AUGUUGCAAUGAAGAAUGAACACAUAAGGCGAAGUGCUCUAGCAGACUUAUUUCUUGACACGCCUUUAUGCCAUGCACAUACAACAGGAACAGAUAUAUUAUGGGCAGGUUUGCCGAUGGUGACUCUUCCUCUUGAGAAAAUGGCUACUAGAGUUGCUGGGUCACUGAGGAGAAACUAGCUUUUUGCAAGGGAAUCAGAGCUGGUGUGGGCAUCAAUUACAAAACAGAGGACUAUGUUACGAGGGUAAAGGAAGAAACCGGUGGUCAAGGUGUUGAUGUUAUUCUCGAUUGUAUGGGAGCAUCCUACUAUCAAAGAAAUCUUGACAGCUUAAAUUUUGAUGGAAGGCUUUUUAUUAUCGGUUUUCAAG